rnacentral:tRNA from 8 species
GGAGACGUGGGUGAGUGGCUGAAACCAGCGGUUUGCUAAACCGUCGAGCCCUGAAUGGGGCUCCCCGGGUUCGAAUCCCGGCGUCUCCGCCA